AACAUAACCGCAGCCUCCACACCUGAUUCAUGGAGAACAACUUCUCCUCGACAAGAAAAGCAAACUAUAUCAGGUUCUGAGCUGGACACUAAGUUUGAGAUAUCCAUUAUCAUCUGAGGCUUCGAGGUGACUUAGAGAUGUAGAUAUUUGACGCCCGACGAUCUCCCUUGUCCCUUUUUACUUUAUGUUUUGUUCUAUUUGAGAUACAAAGACAUUUGAGACUUGUAUUAUCUUUUAUUUCAUAUUUAUAGUGGCAUGUACACGUGACAACCAGAUUUUGGGGGUUAUUUGAGAUUAUCUAAGACUUUUGCUUUUAAUUA